CCAUCUGGAAGAAUCUGGAGACAGGUGCUGCAUGGCUGUCGUCAGCUCGUGUCGUGAGAUGUUGGGUUAAGUCCCGCAACGAGCGCAACCCUUGCCUUUAGUUGCCAGCAGUUCGGCUGGGCACUCUAAAGGGACUGCCGGUGUUAAACCGGAGGAAGGUGGGGAUGACGUCAAGUCCUCAUGGCCUUUAUGACCAGGGCUACACACGUACUACAAUGGCCGAUACAAAGGGCAGCGACACUGCGAGGUGAAGCCAAUCCCGUAAAAUCGGUCUCAGUCCGGAUUGGAGUCUGCAACUCGACUCCAUGAAGUUGGAAUCGCUAGUAAUCGUGGAUCAGCAUGCCACGGUGAAUACGUUCCUGGGCCUU
rnacentral:rRNA from 1 species